rnacentral:rRNA from 1 species
GGACUACAAGGGUAUCUAAUCCUGUUUGCUCCCCACGCUUUCGCGCCUCAGCGUCAGUAUCGGUCCAGAGAGCCGCCUUCGCCACCGGUGUUCUUCCCAAUAUCUACGAAUUUCACCUCUACACUGGGAAUUCCACUCUCCUCUCCCGAACUCAAGCGCCAGAGUAUCAAGCGCAAUUCCCAGGUUGAGCCCGGGGCUUUCACGCCUGACUUCUGGUGCCGCCUACGCGCCCUUUACGCCCAGUAAUUCCGAACAACGCUAGCCCCCUUCGUAUUACCGCGGCUGCUGGCAC